AGAAGAAGACGUCUCGAGUGCAGGAAACAUAAGAUAAACGAUGGACAGUGAAGUUAAGAAACUAGAAAUUUCCCGUGCAGUGGACACAAGAAUAACUGAUAUACGCUUCAUUUCAUCGGCCAAGGAGAAAAGCCUGGAACUGCAAUGGGUAAGUAACAUGGUUUGUGAUUCCCAAAUCAAGGCUUUUCCUUAAACCGCAACAGAGUGAACACGUAAAUCUGGAACUCGAGUAGUGAAAUUUAAGAACAUUGAAUGGAUGCAUGUUUAAACCCAGAUCUAGGAGAAAACCCUGGAAUCCCAAAAGAAAUGGACUAUGACUCACAAACAAAUAGAAGACCCGGAGAAGAAAGUGACCUAAGAAAACCCCGAUCCCAAAUUGGCUGGAGUCACAAGGCGGCUGAAACUUGGGAGAAUUUCGACCACCCUUGAUGGAUGACAACAAUAAGACAAAAUAACCAUGAAGUACUAAUUAAUUCAGCAGGAGAAUCAGAAACUCCAAACUUUAAUGACCCAAUGAAGUUAACUGAUGCUGUAUACAAAUCAACACCAAAAGUACAUAAUAGAAGACACAAAGAGUACUUUGAAGGGACAGGCAGUAAGAUUUGAAGUCAGAAGAACAUUUAAAGGACUUUACCAGGAAGAGUUGCCAUAGGACAUCCAUCAUAUAUAGUACACCAGUAUUCCUUACCAAUACCAGAAUGACAUAGAAUUUUAUACAGUUUAUUUGAAGUAAUAGCAGAAAACAAUAUAAUGUUUUUAACUUCUGACCAGAUCGGCAGAAUAGACCUUAGAAAUGCAAAGGAAUCAUCACUAGACUCAAUUCUAUCUUCCCCGACUCCAAGCCACUCGGAAAUUCAGGACCAAACACAGGAAGUGACCACUUACCAGUAACAGUAAGGGAGAACACCAUACAAAGUCCCCUCAAUCAAAAGAAAAAAAUGGUGGUUCAGUAACAAAGGGGGAAAGUCAACCUCAUGCUAAGAAGUACUACAUACCAAGACAGAUGAAAUAUAAAUGAAACAGGGAUCAAUUCCUUCAAACAACAGAGAGAAGAUUCCAAGAAACAAGAUCCAGGGAAUAUAGACAUAAGUUUAAAACCCUAUAUAAGAAGAAAGAAGAAGAAGGAGGCUAAAAGAAAGGUGUGACUGCUGCCCGCCAAACUACAACCGAGGACCCAGUGAAAUGCUUGCAAAGGAUUACUAUAGCCCUGUUGCAGAGAGAGGAAAGACAAGGCAUCAGCAAUAUGAUCUCUGCUUUUCAUAUGACCCUGGAUAGUCACAGAUCAUUGUAAUGGAGCAGGUCGGAGUUCAAGCCAGUGAAUGGGCCGUGGCUGGACAGGAACAGCAGUCAAGUAUGGAAGGCCCCCACGACAAUAGCAAGAAGAGUGACAGAAGAAAUGCGCCUUCGGGAAGUUUCGAAAGAUGAAAUAUCAGGAGGAGAACUUCUGAUGCAGGUGUUGCUGUCACCAUUUAUGCGUGUGAUUGCAAACUCAAGAUCAUUUAUGUAUUCAUAUAUAUAUAAAGAAAGAUGACUCAGAGAAUAUAUGUCUCAUCGUCUUUCUGUCAUAGUUGUAAUGAGUUUCUUGCAAGAAGUUAGGAUUCUGAAUUAUAAUAAUACUUGCAACAAGUAUUGAUGCUCUCACAAGAAGAGAUACUUGAGAUAUAGUGCAGAUAUUAUACAGACCUGUUUUAUUAUCUGCAAAAGGUGAAGUAGGAUGUAGGAUUCAUUAGUGCAAAUAAGGUAAGAAGGCUGUUGUAGAAUUCUCCCUAGGUUGUGUAUAUUUUCUUAAUCUUUGGUUCCUUUCCUAAGUAUGAUCUUUGUUAUACUCAGGGCCGGAUUAUGACCUUUUGGGGCUUCUAGGCUAAUGAAAUUAUGGGGCCCCCUCAGAAUAUUUUUUACUCGUGAUAUAUUUACAGCGACAUUUACAUAGCUUGAAGUAAACUUAUUGCAAAUUCUUUAAAUAAACUAACAUAGCUAUCUUUUGUUUGUCAAUAAAAGUAUCCUUUAAAUACCACUAUUUUACUAUAUUUCAACACAACCGUAGUGAAAAAAAAAUACGAUUUUUUAUAGCCAAGCCCCUCAAGCUUGAGGGGCCCGAGGCUGCAGCCUAUACUAGCCUAUAGGAUAAUCUUGUAAUACUUGUUUUUAUUAAGUCUGCUGUGAUAAGCAUUUGGCUGUAAGAAAGAGCAUAUUACCAUAUGCAUUUUUAGCCUUUAAGGAUAUUGUUAAAUACUCUAGUCAUAAAUAAUUUUUGCUUCCUUGUCGUUGGAUCAUAGUAAUGAAGAAAAGCUAAGAAAAAUGUAUGAUAGAGGAGAUUUAAAUAUUAUUUUGUAUAAUUAGCAUUUUGGUGUGCACAUCGGACUUGGAGAGUUAGGAAGUAAAGCGUUUUGCCUUGUCCUUUGGGUAAGGCAGGAUAUUAGAUGUAUGCUGACAGAGCACUUUGUUGAUAGUCACUGUAUUCUCUAGUUCUGUCACUCGUGUUUUCAAAAAUUAAAUCAUAUUGGACAUUUUACUGCUAUGGACUGUUCAGAUUUAAAUAAAGAAAAUUAAUUGAAUAUUAGUUUGUAUUCAGUUAGGAAAUGUGCAUAUUGUCAGUAAGGAAAUGUAGAAAUUAUGGUGAACAGUUAUAGUAUUCAUAUAUUUUGAUGCAUAUUUUUGUAUUUUGGUCAGUAAUGAGCUAGAUAGUGCAUAUUGGAUUGUGUCAGAUGUAGUAAAGAUAUGAAUGAGAAUGAAUAUCUUCACAAUACAAGAUAUGCAUUUGAUCAGUUUCGAUUAUAUCAUGUAUUGCUAACAAAGAUAUAAUCGAAACUGGUCAAAUACAUCUCAUUUUGCAAAGAUGUCCAUUCUCGUUCAUACCUUUUCAAGCAUAUUAUAUAUUUUGUCAUACAUAUUAUGCACCUGAACAAAUUAUUCAGGUCUUACAUAAUUUUCACUUGAAAGUAUUUAAAAAAAAAUUCAAUUGAGGAUGGACCAGUAAGUGAAAUAAAGAUGGAAUAUUUAAAAAUA